AGGUAUUCAAGAUGUGGUAAACCCACGAAAGCAUCUUCAUCAAUCAGGUCUAAUGAAUUCGCCGUGAACAGUCUGUGAAGGAAAAGCAGCCAAAUGACGCACCUCAAUCCAUCCAGUGAUAAGCAACAAACGACGUUUUAUCAUUUCUGUCAUCCUGUCUGUCCUUUUGAGCCCACAUGAAGUCCUUUGUUGGUUUCGGCGGAAAAGUGGUGAAACACUGGAGUACAAAGGGCCGACCUCUGUUCCUCCGCCGAGAUGAACGUAAUAAAGCUCAAAACAGCCUAAUUUCCCCUGCAGUUGAGGCAUUAAUUCCAAGAUAAAAGUCAUUGUUCAUUGAUGUCCUCUGGCUACGUUUCCCGACGUGUUUCUUAUUUCUCAAUGUAUUCCUCAAUUGGCUCUGUAUGUUUAAACACUACAAUCAAUUUAAUAAAC